rnacentral:rRNA from 1 species
UACGAAGGGGGCUAGCGUUGCUCGGAAUCACUGGGCGUAAAGCGCACGUAGGCGGAUCUUUAAGUCAGGGGUGAAAUCCUGGAGCUCAACUCCAGAACUGCCUUUGAUACUGAGGAUCUUGAGUCCGGGAGAGGUGAGUGGAACUCCGAGUGUAGAGGUGAAAUUCGUAGAUAUUCGGAAGAACACCAGUGGCGAAGGCGGCUCACUGGCCCGGUACUGACGCUGAGGUGCGAAAGCGUGGGGAGCAAACGGG